rnacentral:rRNA from 1 species
UGGGGAAUCUUGCACAAUGGGCGAAAGCCUGAUGCAGCGACGCCGCGUGCGGGAUGACGGCCUUCGGGUUGUAAACCGCUUUCAGCAGGGACGAUAAUGACGGUACCUGCAGAAGAAGCCCCGGCCAACUACGUGCCAGCAGCCGCGGUAAUACGUAGGGGGCAAGCGUUGUCCGGAUUUAUUGGGCGUAAAGAGCUCGUAGGCGGUUUGGUAAGUCUGGUGUGAAAUCUCCACGCUCAACGUGGAGGGGCCACCCGAUACUGCCAUGACUGGAGUCCGGUAGAGGAGUGUGGAAUUCCCGGUGUAGCGGUGAAAUGCGCAGAUAUCGGGAGGAACACCCGUAGCGAAGGCGGCACUCUGGGCCGGUACUGACGCUGAGGAGCGAAAGCGUGGGGAGCAAACAGGAUUAGAUACCCACGUAGUCCCUGAGCGGGC